GACGAACGCUGGCGGCGUGCUUAACACAUGCAAGUCGAACGGAAAGGCCCUGCUUUUGUGGGGUGCUCGAGUGGCGAACGGGUGAGUAACACGUGAGUAACCUGCCCUUGACUUUGGGAUAACUUCAGGAAACUGGGGCUAAUACCGGAUAGGAGCUCCUGCUGCAUGGUGGGGGUUGGAAAGUUUCGGCGGUUGGGGAUGGACUCGCGGCUUAUCAGCUUGUUGGUGGGGUAGUGGAUUACCAAGGCUUUGACGGGUAGCCGGCCUGAGAGGGUGACCGGCCACAUUGGGACUGAGAUACGGCCCAGACUCCUACGGGAGGCAGCAGGCGGGAAUAUUGCACAAUGGGCGGAAGCCUGAUGCAGCAACGCCGCGUGCGGGAUGACGGCCUUCGGGUUGUAAACCGCUUUCGCCUGUGACGAAGCGUGAGUGACGGUAAUGGGUAAAGAAGCACCGGCUAACUACGUG
rnacentral:rRNA from 1 species